rnacentral:rRNA from 1 species
GACGAACCGUGCGAACGUUGUUCGGAAUCACUGGGCUUAAAGGGCGCGUAGGCGGGCUCGCAAGUCAGGGGUGAAAGCCCACGGCUCAACCGUGGAAGUGCCUUUGAUACUGCGGGCCUUGAGGGAGGUAGGGGCGUGCGGAACUUCCGGUGGAGCGGUGAAAUGCGUAGAUAUCCUGAGGAACACCGGUGGCGAAAGCGGCGUGCUGGACACCUACUGACGCUGAGGCGCGAAAGCCAGGGGAGCAAACGGG